AGGAUGAACGCUGGCGGCGUGCUUAACACAUGCAAGUCGAACGGACCUUCGGGUUAGUGGCGGACGGGUGAGUAACGCGUGGGAAUCUGCCCUCAGGAGGGGGACAACAGCUGGAAACGGCUGCUAAUACCCCAUAUGCCGAGAGGUGAAAUGAAAUUCGCCUGAGGAUGAGCCCGCGUCUGAUUAGCUAGUUGGUGUGGUAAAGGCUCACCAAGGCAUCGAUCAGUAGCUGGUCUGAGAGGAUGAUCAGCCACACUGGGACUGAGACACGGCCCAGACUCCUACGGGAGGCAGCAGUGGGGAAUUUUCCGCAAUGGGCGCAAGCCUGACGGAGCAACGCCGCGUGAGGGACGAAGGCCUCUGGGCUGUAAACCUCUUUUCUCAAGGAAGAAGACAUGACGGUACUUGAGGAAUAAGCCACGGCUAAUUCCGUGCCAGCAGCCGCGGUAAUACGGGAGUGGCAAGCGUUAUCCGGAAUUAUUGGGCGUAAAGCGUCCGCAGGCGGCCCAGAAAGUCUGUUGUUAAAAAGUGGAGCUCAACUCCAUCCAGGCAAUGGAAACUACUGGGCUAGAGUGUGGUAGGGGCAGAGGGAAUUCCCGGUGUAGCGGUGAAAUGCGUAGAUAUCGGGAAGAACACCAGUGGCGAAGGCGCUCUGCUGGGCCAUAACUGACGCUCAUGGACGAAAGCCAGGGGAGCGAAAGGGAUUAGAUACCCCUGUAGUCCUGGCCGUAAACGAUGAACACUAGGUGUCGGGGGAAUCGACCCCCUCGGUGUCGUAGCCAACGCGUUAAGUGUUCCGCCUGGGGAGUACGCACGCAAGUGUGAAACUCAAAGGAAUUGACGGGGGCCCGCACAAGCGGUGGAGUAUGUGGUUUAAUUCGAUGCAACGCGAAGAACCUUACCAGGGCUUGACAUCCUGCGAACCCCUGAGAGAUCGGGGGGUGCCUUCGGGAACGCAGUGACAGGUGGUGCAUGGCUGUCGUCAGCUCGUGUCGUGAGAUGUUGGGUUAAGUCCCGCAACGAGCGCAACCCACGUCUUUAGUUGCCAGCAUUCAGUUGGGCACUCUAGAGAGACCGCCGGUGAUAAACCGGAGGAAGGUGUGGAUGACGUCAAGUCAUCAUGCCCCUUACGUCCUGGGCUACACACGUACUACAAUGCUACGGACAAAGGGCAGCAAACUCGCGAGAGCUAGCAAAUCCCAUAAACCGUGGCUCAGUUCAGAUCGUAGGCUGCAACUCGCCUACGUGAAGGAGGAAUCGCUAGUAAUCGCAGGUCAGCAUACUGCGGUGAAUACGUUCCCGGGCCUUGUACACACCGCCCGUCACACCAUGGAAGUUGGCCAUGCCCGAAGUCGUUACUCCAACCCGUAAGGGAGGAGGACGCCGAA
rnacentral:rRNA from 1 species